ACAAAAUAGGAGUUUAAUAAUAAUAUUAAAGAGAAAAAAAUCAAAAAAUGUUAAGAUAUAUCUUCCUCCCUUCAACGUACAUAGACCGACACUUUCUCUCUCACAGAAUAUAUCACUCUCUGUAGCAUGAGAAAAGAAAAAACAAAAAGAAAAGAAUAAAGAAUAAAGGUAAAAAUACAACGAACUCACAGGUCUCUCCACUCUCCACUCAUUUUAUUUACCCU
rnacentral:lncRNA from 1 species